UUAUGGUUAAAAAAAUUUAUUAAAAAUUUAUUUUACAUAUAAAUUUUAGUAUAUAUAUAUAAUUUAUUUAAAAAAUAUUUUAAUUUUAUUAUUAUAGUAAUUGAUAUUAAAUAAUUUAAGAAAUUAAGAUUUAGUAAUAUAAAAAUUAAUAACAAAUUUUGUGCCAGCAGUUGCGGUUAUACAAAAAUUAAAUUAAAUUUUAUUAGUGAUUAAUAAAUAAUUUUAAUAAAAAUAUAAUAAAAAUUUUAAAUUAUUAAGUGAAAUUUUAAUUUAAGUAAAAUUUAUUUUUUUGUUAUUAUUUAAUAAAUUUUUUUAAGAAACUAGGAUUAGAUACCCUAUUAUUGAAAUUUUAAAUUAAUAAAUACUAAAAUAAUAAAUAAUUAUUUAUUGAAACUUAAAUAAUUUGGCGGUAUUUUAGUUCAUUUAGAGGAAUCUGUUUAAUAAUUGAUAGUCCACAAAUAAAUUUACUUAAUUUUUAAUUUUGUAUAUCGUUGUUAUAAAAAUAUUUUUUAAUAAUUAAUAAUAUUUUAAAAUUUAAAUAUAAAAUUAAAUCAAAUCAAGAUGCAGAUUAUAAUUAAGAAUAUAAUGGAUUACAAUAAAUGUAUUUAAAUGAAUAUUAAUUUGUAAAAAUUAAUUGAAAGUGGAUUUAAAUGUAAUUUUAUUUAAUUUAUUAAAAUGAUUAAUAAUUAAAAUAUGUACAUAUUGCCCGUCGCUUUCAUAUAUAUAUAUAUAUAUAUAUAAAUUGAAAUAAGUCGUAACAAAGUAGAGAUACUGGAAAGUGUUUCUAGAAAGAC
rnacentral:ncRNA from 1 species